UGGGACAAUCUGUGCAAUGGGACGAUCGGUACAAUGAGUGUCCAUCAGAAGGCCCCUGCUGAGUAGUUGGCAGGGUGGCUGCACAUAAUGGAAAGCACAUAAGCUUGAAGCCAGACAGAUGGGAGUUCUAACCCCAGCCCUGCCACUUAUUCCCAGGUGACACUGAUUAUGAACAAAGCUACUGGAAAUGUCUGAGUGGAAGUUUUUGUGUGGAUGUAAGUUUUCGGCUCCUUUGGAUAAAUACCAAGGAGCAUGCUUGC
rnacentral:lncRNA from 10 species